AGUUCGGAUUGUAGUCUGCAACUCGACUACAUGAAGCUGGAAUCGCUAGUAAUCGCGAAUCAGCAUGUCGCGGUGAAUACGUUCCCGGGUCUUGUACACACCGCCCGUCACACCAUGGGAGUCGGUAACGCCCGAAGUCAGUGACCCAACCGGAAGGAGGGAGCUGCCGAAGGCGGGACUGGUAACUGGGGUGAAGUCGUAACAAGGUAGC
rnacentral:rRNA from 1 species